GGACUACCGGGGUAUCUAAUCCUGUUUGCUCCCCUAGCUUUCGCAGAUCAGAGUCAGUGACGGUCCAGUAGCCUGCUUUCGCCAUAGGUAUUCCUCCCGAUAUCUACGCAUUUCACCGCUACACCGGGAAUUCCAGCUACCUCUACCACACUCUAGCCUGGUAGUUUCCCUUGACCUCUCCCAGUUGAGCCGGGAGCUUUCACAAGAGACUUUCCAAACCUCCUACCUGCGCUUUACGCCUAGUGAUUCCGAGUAUCGCUUGCCACCUACGUAUUACCGCGGCGGCUGGCAC
rnacentral:rRNA from 1 species